rnacentral:tRNA from 1 species
GCCGAAGUGGCGGAAUUGGUAGACGCACCAGACUCAAAAUCUGGCGGUGGCAACACCGUCCCGGUUCGAUUCCGGGCUUCGGCA